GGUCAGAUGGCCGAGCGGUCUAAGGCGCUAGCUUAAGGUCUCGCUCCUCGGAGUGACCAUCUAUUCGCUAGUCAGAAAUGGCGUGGGUUCGAAUCCCACUCUGAUCA